UGUUGGGAUUGAUUGCAAUGUAAGUCCCACAAUGCUAAUGAAGAAAAAGAAGGAGGUUAAAAAAUAGCUAUUGAAAGUCCCACAUCGCUUAGAAUUGUGAAGCAAGGAGGAAAUCAAAGCUAUAUAAUGGACCUAAGUUCUUUGUUUAUAAUUGCACCAAGCAGUAACACUUGUAAACACUUUCAGUUUAUAUUUGUGUCUUUUUGCUUUUCUCUUAUGCUCUUGUUUAAGAGUAUUUGAGAUGUAGUUCAAAUAUUUACUUUGGAGAGUGUGGGUGUAUUGGGGCAUGGGGUGAUUGAGAGUGAA
rnacentral:lncRNA from 1 species